UUUUGGGAGGGAAAACCCUCAUCAAGAAGCACAGAAAUGGCACCACUAUCUGCUGCUGAAAAGCAACGACGCUACAGGGCACGUCGUGAUGCAGACCCUGAGAAGGCAGAACUACCUCAACAGAGAGAAAGAGAGGUGGAGAAGGGACAGAGAGAAAGGAAGAAAACAUAAAGUAUCAGACCUCAGUGAAAGACAGAAGAGAGCAGAGAGAAAGAAAUGGCACGAAAUGAAAAGAAAACAGAGGGAUAUUGUCAGAGCCAGGACAACAUUUCAGUCAGUGACUCCUCCUCCAAGUCCAGACAGUCCCCCAGAGACAGAAAAUGCCUCACAACCAAGACCCUCAAGAAAUGUCAGACAAGGAAGAAGGAGACUCAAGAGUGAAAUCAUACAAUUAAAGGCCUUGUUGGAGAAGGAAAAGAGAAAAAAGGAAAAAUACAAGAAGAGGUACCAGCGUAUGGUGGGGAGAAAAAAUCGCCACGUCCUACAGUGGAUGCACUGCUGCAUCAUCAACCAGUGAAUAAUAAGCUGAGGAAAAGACUGUUGUUGCACGAAUCAAUUAUUGAUGACAUCAAAAAUAAAUACAAAAAUACCAAAAAAGGAACGAGAGAGGCAAAUUAUUGCAAAAAUAACAAUUGAAAAUAUUAUAAAGAAAUACAGGCUACAGAGGGCUGCACAGACUACUCUUGGUUUUUCAAAAAAGCGAGGUCAAAGGCUGAUGACUUUUGAAAGAAAGAAAAGCAGCAGAUUAUCUGUUGAAAUCAAACAUAAAGUAAAGGCCUUCUUCUUAAGAGAUGACGUCAGUAGAAUGACAACAGGACGAAAGCAAACAGUAACUCGAUUCAAGAUUAAAAAACAGAAACGUUUGCUAACCGACACGAUGAAGAUUCUGCACCAGAGGUUUCUUUCAGAAAGUGAUCAGGUCUCUUACUCAUGUUUCUGCACCUUAAGACCAUUUUGGGUCAUUGUGCCCACAGAGAGCUGAUCGUGAAACUUGUCAGUGUAGAACCCACGAGAACUUGCAGUUCAUGGCCAACACCCUGUACAGCCAAGGUUUGACAGCAUCAAAACACCUUGAGGAGAUGGUAGAUGCAACAAUGUGUGAUCUCAAAUCCAAACUCUGUGCAUAUGGUGAGUGUAAAGACUGUGUCAGUUCAACACAUUCAAUGCUGAGACCACCGACAGAUGCAGAAAUAGCCCUUACACAAUGAUCUCUGGAAGACAAUGCCAAAGUGAAUGAUGGAGAGCGGUCUGGGAAAAGAUCAACAAUCACAGUGAAGAAAACGCUGAUGACAACAGAGAAUGCACUUAUUGGUGAAUUUCAUGACAGGCUGUUCAGAUUUGUUCAGAUUUAGGCGACACAUCUUUAAUAUUAGAUGGCAGUAUGGGGCUUAUAGACAGCUGAGAGAAAACCUAAAGAACAACGAAUGUCUACUUCAUGUCGAUUUCAGUGAAAACUAUUCCUGUAAAUAUUCUGAAGAGAUUCAAUCUGUCCAUUUCGGAGGAUCACACCAGCAAGCAUCCCUACAUACUGGAGUGCUGUACACUGCAGCUGAAAAGGCACCAGUUACUUUCUGCUCCAUCUCUCCAUCCAGGCGGCAUGAUCCCCCUGCUAUAUGGGCCCACCUCGACCCAGUGUUAAACAUGUUGAGGGAGAGAUACCCACUAAUCAGUCACCUCCAUGUGUUCAGCGACGGCCCAGCUACAAUAUAAACAAAAGGGCAACUUUUAUCUGCUCUCAAAAGAGCCUUUCAAGAAAGGCUUCAAAGACAUCAGCUGGAACUUCUUUGAGGCAAGCCAUGGAAAGGGGGCUCCAGAUGGUGUUGGCACUACCCUUAAAAGGUCAGCUGACAAAAUUGUCCGCCAUGGAGGAGAUAUCCCCAAUGCAGAAGCCAUGUUCCACAAGUUGAGGAACUUGGGCACUUCAGUGGAACUUUUCCUUGUGAGAGAAGAAGAUGUUGAGAGAAAAGUGCAGGAAAUAAUGGAUGCACCCCUGCUUGUGCCUGUCAAAGGAACAAUGAAAAUUAACCAAGUCCUAAGUUUGUCUCCAGAGAGAAUAAAAUACAGGGACAUAACAUGUCUCUGCCAGGCAGACAAAGGUAUAUUGGACUGUGCAUGCUAUGGCCUGAAGGAAGUGAGACUGGGAGAAGAGGCAAGCCUGAAUUGCACUGAGGAAACAUCAUGACCAACAAAGUUACCAAAGAAAACAUUGGUGAAUGGUGCAUUGUCAAUUACGAUGGUGAUCCCUACCCUGGAAUCAUCUUGGAGGUUGAGGAAGAUAUAAAGGUGAAAUGCAUGUACCAGAAUGGGACCAACAAGUUCUACUGGCCAAGUCCACGAGAGGACGUUUCCUGGUACACGGAUGAACAGAUUGUGUGCCUGAUGAAGGUGCCACAACCCUUGAAUAAGAGGUCUGUCCAGCUGGAGAAGAAGCUGUGGGAUUUCCUCAAAAAACACUUGGGUUGCUGAUAUGUCACAUAGUUUGUUGUUUCUGAAACACAGGGUUAAAGGUCAGAGACUAACAAAUGUUCCUGAUGUUUAGUUUGGGUGUGCACUACAUUUGAAAUUUAAUGAGGACAUGCAUCUGUCUGUGUCUGUGUUGGGUGGUGGUGGGAGGUGGGGUGCUGUUGUCGGGGGUGUGUGUAUUCCUUAAUAUUUUUUUGUUUACUGGUUUGAUGUCCACCCUGUUACUUCUCUGUCCACCCUGU